CUACUUACCUGGCAGGGGAGAUACCAUGAUCAUGUAGGUGGUUCACCCAGGGCGAGGCUCAGCCAUUGCACUGAGGCUGUCUGACCUCUGCGAAUUCCCCAAAUGUGGGAAUCUCGACUGCAUAAUUUCUGGUAGUGGGGGACUGCGUUCGCGCUCUCCCCUG
rnacentral:snRNA from 1 species